rnacentral:rRNA from 1 species
CCGCCUCAAGAUGAGAUUUCCCAGUACGUAAGACCCCUGGAAGAACACCAGGUAGAUAGGCUCGGGGUGGAAGCGCGGCAACGUGUGGAGCUGACGAGUACUAAUCGGUCGAGGGCUUAUCCUAA